GAGUGAAAUGAUGUCUACCAUCUUUCGGGACUUACCAAAUCAUGGUGAUAACUUUUUUCUUACUGAUCACUC